rnacentral:lncRNA from 1 species
GGUUUACUAUGGUUCAAAGGUUGUAGGCAUUUUAGCCUGCAGGCGGCUAGUUCCAUGGAAGGGCAGCAGGACAGAGGAGAAUCAAGCCAUGUCAUGGAAGCGGAAGCAGAGCGAGAGAAAAGUCAAGGGUGGCCGGAAGACAGGCCCUUCCAGGCCACGCCCCCAAAGAGCAUCUCCUCCUACCAAGGUUCCCCUCCCAACAUCACAGUGGGCUGCGAGCUCAUGUGUGGAUUCGUCCAGUGAUGAGGCCGCUACAUUCCGUGAACCAAUCGCCGCCCCAAAGCUUCAUCUAUGAGGGCAUGAGACUGAGGAGACAUCUAGAUACAAACCAGAGCACAGUAUUAGAUUCUAAGAUUUCGGGUAAGUGGUCUGGAAAGUCGGAUUUUUUAAAAUGUAGAUCUGGCAAUCAGUUUUUCACAUGGAAUUCUUACAAAGACGGUGAAGGAAGAAGACAGAAGCGACGAUGUGAGUGAGUGAACACCGCCAAAUUAGUACAGUAUGUACUUCUAAAGAUUUUUUAAUCUCCAUAUCUUACUGUAUUGUUAAACAAUAAUUAACAUCAUUUCAUGAAAAAAU